rnacentral:rRNA from 1 species
CUCUCACUAUCGGAUGAACCCAGAUGGGAUUAGCUAGUAGGCGGGGUAAUGGCCCACCUAGGCGACGAUCCCUAGCUGGUCUGAGAGGAUGACCAGCCACACUGGAACUGAGACACGGUCCAGACUCCUACGGGAGGCAGCAGUGGGGAAUAUUGCACAAUGGGCGCAAGCCUGAUGCAGCCAUGCCGCGUGUAUGAAGAAGGCCUUCGGGUUGUAAAGUACUUUCAGCGGGGAGGAAGGCGACGGGGUUAAUAACCCCGUCGAUUGACGUUACCCGCAGAAGAAGCACCGGCUAACUCCGUGCCAGCAGCCGCGGUAAUACGGAGGGUGCAAGCGUUAAUCGGAAUUACUGGGCGUAAAGCGCACGCAGGCGGUCUGUUAAGUCAGAUGUGAAAUCCCCGGGCUUAACCUGGGAACUGCAUUUGAAACUGGCAGGCUUGGAGAAAAGCGAUACGGUUAAUAUCCCCGUCUAUUGUGAUUACCCCCACAAAAAACACCGGCUAUCUCCCUGCCACCAGCCGCGGUAAAACAGAGGGUGUAAACGCGUUA